UUGAGGGGAAUGUUGUCUGGCUCGAGGCCCCUUAACUAGAUCUAUGAUCUUCAUCUCAAUUGGUGACAAUUUUAUCCACCAAUCUUAAAAAAUUAYAGUCCCAGUUGAGAAAGAUCAUUGAUUCUACGUUUAGUGACGUCGGACCAGGCUUCAUUCCCCCCAA
rnacentral:pre_miRNA from 1 species